GGCGGCAGGCUUAACACAUGCAAGUCGAGCGGUAGCAGAUCUAGCUUGCUAGAUGCUGACGAGCGGCGGACGGGUGAGUAACGCGUAGGAACCUGCCCAGUAGUGGGGGAUAGCCCGGGGAAACUCGGAUUAAUACCGCAUACGCUCUACGGAGGAAAGAGGGGCUUCGGGCUCUCGCUAUUGGAUGGGCCUGCGUGAGAUUAGCUAGUUGGUGAGGUAAUGGCUCACCAAGGCGACGAUCUCUAGCUGGUCUGAGAGGAUGAUCAGCCACACUGGGACUGAGACACGGCCCAGACUCCUACGGGAGGCAGCAGUGGGGAAUAUUGCACAAUGGGCGCAAGCCUGAUGCAGCCAUGCCGCGUGUGUGAAGAAGGCUUUCGGGUUGUAAAGCACUUUCAGUGGGGAGGAAGGCCUCGUAGUUAAUAGCUGCGAGGAUUGAUGUUACCCACAGAAGAAGCACCGGCUAACUCCGUG
rnacentral:rRNA from 1 species